CUCUCGCGUCAGGAUAUGCCUAGGUGGGAUUAGCUAGUUGGUGAGGUAAGGGCUCACCAAGGCGACGAUCCCUAGCUGGUCUGAGAGGAUGAUCAGCCACACUGGAACUGAGACACGGUCCAGACUCCUACGGGAGGCAGCAGUGGGGAAUAUUGCACAAUGGGCGCAAGCCUGAUGCAGCCAUGCCGCGUGUGUGAAGAAGGCCUUCGGGUUGUAAAGCACUUUCAGUCGUGAGGAAGGUGGUGUAGUUAAUAGCUGCAUUAUUUGACGUUAGCGACAGAAGAAGCACCGGCUAACUCCGUGCCAGCAGCCGCGGUAAUACGGAGGGUGCGAGCGUUAAUCGGAAUUACUGGGCGUAAAGCGCAUGCAGGUGGUUUGUUAAGUCAGAUGUGAAAGCCCGGGGCUCAACCUCGGAAUAGCAUUUGAAACUGGCAGACUAGAGUACUGUAGAGGGGGGUAGAAUUUCAGGUGUAGCGGUGAAAUGCGUAGAGAUCUGAAGGAAUACCGGUGGCGAAGGCGGCCCCCUGGACAGAUACUGACACUCAGAUGCGAAAGCGUGGGGAGCAAACAGGAUUAGAUACCCUGGUAGUCCACGCCGUAAACGAUGUCUACUUGGAGGUUGUGGCCUUGAGCCGUGGCUUUCGGAGCUAACGCGUUAAGUAGACCGCCUGGGGAGUACGGUCGCAAGAUUAAAACUCAAAUGAAUUGACGGGGGCCCGCACAAGCGGUGGAGCAUGUGGUUUAAUUCGAUGCAACGCGAAGAACCUUACCUACUCUUGACAUCCAGAGAACUUUCCAGAGAUGGAUUGGUGCCUUCGGGAACUCUGAGACAGGUGCU
rnacentral:rRNA from 1 species